UGUGAUAAGGCCGAAUGGCCAAUGUGAUGAAUGUGAACAUGCAUAUGUGUGAUAAGGCCGAAUGGCCAAUGUGAUGAAUGUGAACAUGCAAAUAUGUGAUAAGGCCGAAUGGCCAAUGUGAUGAAUGUGAACAUGCAAAUAUGUGAUAAGGCCGAAUGGCCAAUGUGAUGAAUGUGAACAUGCAUAUAUGUGAUAAGGUAGAAUGGCCAAUGUGAUGAACGUGGAAGUGUAUAUAUGUGGC
rnacentral:lncRNA from 1 species